rnacentral:rRNA from 1 species
UACGUAGGGUGCAAGCGUUAAUCGGAAUUACUGGGCGUAAAGCGUGCGCAGGCGGUGAUGUAAGACAGAUGUGUAAUCCCCGGGCUCAACCUGGGAACUGCAUUUGUGACUGCAUCGCUGGAGUGCGGCAGAGGGGGAUGGAAUUCCGUGUGUAGCAGUGAAAUGCGUAGAUAUGCGGAGGAACACCGAUGGCGAAGGCAAUCCCCUGGGCCUGCACUGACGCUCAUGCACGAAAGCGUGGGGAGCAAACAGG